UGAUGAUGAUGAUGAUGAUGAUGAUGAUGAUGAUGAUAAUGAUAUAGUAAUUGGACAAAAUCCAUAAUUAAUUCAUCAUCAUCAUCAUCAUCAUCCGAG
rnacentral:pre_miRNA from 1 species